GUGCGGGCCCUGUGCAACGAGACACCGUGAACCAUGUCAGGCGGUGAUUCGAGCAGCAUUAAGCGGACCGUUUCGUGUGCCGCAGUCAGCCUGCACACC
rnacentral:SRP_RNA from 1 species